rnacentral:rRNA from 1 species
ACUUACCUAUCAGAGGGGGAUAACCCGGCGAAAGUCGGACUAAUACCGCAUGAAGCAGGGGUCCCGCAUGGGGAUAUUUGCUAAAGAUUCAUCGCUGAUAGAUAGGCAUGCGUUCCAUUAGGCAGUUGGCGGGGUAACGGCCCACCAAACCGACGAUGGAUAGGGGUUCUGAGAGGAAGGUCCCCCACAUUGGUACUGAGACACGGACCAAACUCCUACGGGAGGCAGCAGUGAGGAAUAUUGGUCAAUGGGCGUAAGCCUGAACCAGCCAAGUCGCGUGAGGGAUGAAGGUUCUAUGGAUCGUAAACCUCUUUUAUAAGGGAAUAAAGUGCGGGACGUGUCCCGUUUUGUAUGUACCUUAUGAAUAAGGAUCGGCUAACUCCGUGCCAGCAGCCGCGGUAAUACGGAGGAUCCGAGCGUUAUCCGGAUUUAUUGGGUUUAAAGGGUGCGUAGGCGGCCUUUUAAGUCAGCGGUGAAAGUCUGUGGCUCAACCAUAGAAUUGCCGUUGAAACUGGGGGGCUUGAGUAUGUUUGAGGCAAGCGGAAUGCGUGGUGUAGCGGUGAAAUGCAU